UGGGGAAUAUUGGACAAUGGGCGAAAGCCUGAUCCAGCCAUGCCGCGUGUGUGAAGAAGGUCUUCGGAUUGUAAAGCACUUUAAGUUGGGAGGAAGGGCAUUAACCUAAUACGUUAGUGUCUUGACGUUACCGACAGAAUAAGCACCGGCUAACUCCGUGCCAGCAGCCGCGGUAAUACGGAGGGUGCAAACGUUGCUCGGAAUCAUUGGGCGUAAAGCGCACGUAGGCGGCGAAGCAAGUCGGGUGUGAAAGCCCUGGGCUCAACCCAGGAAGUGCAUUCGAAACUGGCAAGCUAGAGUAUGGUAGAGGGUAGUGGAAUUUCCUGUGUAGCGGUGAAAUGCGUAGAUAUAGGAAGGAACACCAGUGGCGAAGGCGACUACCUGGACUGAUACUGACACUGAGGUGCGAAAGCGUGGGGAGCAAACA
rnacentral:rRNA from 1 species